rnacentral:rRNA from 1 species
ACCGUUCAGGGGUAAACCUGAGAAACCCAAAAGAUCGAAUGGGGAGAUUCAUCGUCAGCUCAUUUUGUAUAUGUGCAAGUUAUGAUGUGGGUUACCACAUCAGUGGUAUUGCCCGCACAUUCUUGUAUAUUUUGCUGCAGAAUGUUGUCGGCGUGCACUUCUCCCCUAGUAGGACGUCGCGACCCGUUAGAUGUCGGUCUACGACCCAAGUGGUAGCCUUUAAUGUUUCUUUAACGAGUUAUAUUGAAGACCCUUGGUGUUUUCUGGCUGGCAUUUGGCGGUAUUCGUAUGGUAUUAAGCCGCAAAUUAUUAUUUGCGUCCAUGACCGUCGCAAGCAAGGUUAAUUUUUCAGUAGUACGGACCUAGUGCCGUCGCUGUAAUUGACCAGCUGUUGGUUGUACGGUUAUCUGGGACUGGCUAAAAAAAAAUAAUACUGGUCAGCGAUGCUACUGCUUUGGGUACUUUCAGGA